AGUAACGCGUAGGUAACCUGCCUUGUAGCGGGGGAUAACUAUUGGAAACGAUAGCUAAUACCGCAUAACAAUGGAUGACACAUGUCAUUUAUUUGAAAGGGGCAAUUGUUCCACUACAAGAUGGACCUGCGUUGUAUUAGCUAGUAGGUGAGGUAAUGGCUCACCUAGGCGACGAUCAUAGCCGACCUGAGAGGGUGACCGGCCACAUUGGGACUGAGACACGGCCCAA
rnacentral:rRNA from 1 species